GUCCCUGUAGCGCAGUGCAUAGCGCAUUGGAUUUCUAAUCCAAAGGUCGUGGGUUCGAAUCCUACCUGGGAUG
rnacentral:tRNA from 1 species